rnacentral:rRNA from 1 species
GACGAACGCUGGCGGCGUGCUUAACACAUGCAAGUCGAACGGAAAGGCCCUGCUUUUGUGGGGUGCUCGAGUGGCGAACGGGUGAGUAACACGUGAGUAACCUGCCCUUGACUUUGGGAUAACUUCAGGAAACUGGGGCUAAUACCGGAUAGGAGCUCCUGCUGCAUGGUGGGGGUUGGAAAGUUUCGGCGGUUGGGGAUGGACUCGCGGCUUAUCAGCUUGUUGGUGGGGUAGGGGCUUACCAAGGCUUUGACGGGUAGCCGGCCUGAGAGGGUGACCGGCCACAUUGGGACUGAGAUACGGCCCAGACUCCUACGGGAGGCAGCAGUGGGGAAUAUUGCACAAUGGGCGGAAGCCUGAUGCAGCAACGCCGCGUGCGGGAUGACGGCCUUCGGGUUGUAAACCGCUUUCGCCUGUGACGAAGCUUGAGUGACGGUAAUGGGUAAAGAAGCACCGGCUAACUACGUG